rnacentral:lncRNA from 1 species
CAGUCUUUUGCUAUAAUAUUUCCAUUUCAAUUUGCCAAGUUCUCAUAAUUCAGAUUAUGAAAAGGGAUGCUGUAAUCAUAAUAGAAUUUUAGAACGCAAAUAAUGGACCCAUAUACAGAAUUUCCUUAUGUUGAACCAUUCCAACAUGAAAUUCAUAUAUAUAUCCUUGACUAAAUGAUUAAAACCUCACGAUCUAAGCUUAUAGAUUUGAGAUGAAGUAUAAUUUCCUCUCCCUUAAUUAUAGCAAAACAACUUUUCCCAAUUGAAACCUUUUGUUUUCUAUAAUUAACAUUGCUAACUUGCAAUACUUAUCAUAAUUAUCAUGCUCCCACUAACAUGAUGAUUAUUAGCAUAACACUUAUGCUCCCACUAGCUUUGACAUGUACUCAGAAAUCAGCUGGACUUCUAGAAAUCAAUACUUCAUUGACUUUCUUACCAAAGUUCAGAUUUCUGAUACUAGAUUGUUUUGAUAAAACUUUAUCAAAAUCAUACACCUUCCCUUAGAUAGCACACUUGUGUAUCUAAACAAUUAUGAAGAGGGAUGUCGUAAUCAUAAUGGUUAGACCUUUUUGCCACUUCUCACAAGUCCAGGUUAGUGUGCCGGUAAACCACACACGCUCCACUAACGACUUUGAGAAUGCAAAUAUCACAAUUGCUAUCUAGCUAAAAUCUACUUAGUGAAAGUGUUUCCUCACCAUCAUUUUCAUGAAUCGGAGAGAAACCUUAUGACACUUAGAUUUAAUGGUGUAUGUGUUCUUAUCCAUGUGAAUUGUCAAAACCAUAGUCACAAGACAAGGAUAAUGACAAAUCCAAACUCAUAUGGACUGAACUCAAUCUUAAUUUCUUGCCAC